AACAGGCAGCACAGAGGAGAGAGAGUAAUUGUGAUGUAAUGUUUCAGGGGAGGCAACCCUGACAGACGCUCUGUCAGCUGCUGGAAAAACCUACGAGGAGAUCGCAGAGAUCGUCUCACAGCAGCCUCAGAAGGACCUUCAGUUUCUAUUGGAGACCAACUGCGAGUACAAAAGCCUGCUGGGAUGUUUCCCAGAAAUUAUCGCUGUACACAAGGCUGCAGUGGAGAAGGUGAAGGAAGCCGAUCGAAUGAUUUCUGCAGGAAAAAUCAACAACAACGACAGGAAGUGCAUGAACCGACGAAUCAGCUGCAUGAGCUACUCACUGCAGGCUGAGAUGAAUCAUUUCCAUAGUAACCGUAUCUAUGACUACAACAGAGUGAUGCAGCUCUACCUGGAACAACAGGUGACCUUCUACCAACAGAUCGCUGAUAAGCUGAGAGGAGCUCUGAGUCAGUUCACUACACUGUGAGGACGCCAUCACCGCCUGACGACAUCACUGAUGACGUCACCGUCACAGCAGACACGUCUGAACACUAAUGAGCCUCAUAAUAAUGUUUGUGAUUAAUGUUUUCACUGGAUUUUACACAUUAAAGCUUCUUUUAUCA